rnacentral:rRNA from 1 species
CAGCCGCCGCGGGAAUACGAAGGGUGCAAGCGUUAAUCGGAAUUACUGGGCGUAAAGCGUGCGUAGGCGGUGAGUUAAGUCUGCUGUGAAAUCCCCGGGCUCAACCUGGGAAUGGCAGUGGAUACUGGCUCGCUAGAGUGUGUCAGAGGAUGGUGGAAUUCCCGGUGUAGCGGUGAAAUGCGUAGAGAUCGGGAGGAACAUCAGUGGCGAAGGCGGCCAUCUGGGCCAACACUGACGCUCAUGCACGAAAGCGUGGGGAGCAAACAGGAUUAGAUACCCCGGUAGUCCCUGUCUCUUAUAA